CGAACGGGUGCGUAACACGUGAACAACCUGCCCUCGUGUGGGGGAUAGCCAUGCUAACGCGUGGGUAAUACCGCAUACGUUCUUCUGGGGGAGUCCCUGGGAGAGGAAAGCUCCGGCGCACGGGGAGGGGUUCGCGGCCUAUCAGCUAGUUGGUGCGGUAACGGCGCACCAAGGCGACGACGGGUAGCUGGUCUGAGAGGAUGGCCAGCCACAUUGGGACUGAGAUACGGCCCAG
rnacentral:rRNA from 1 species